rnacentral:rRNA from 1 species
AGUGAACGCUGGCGGUAGGCCUAACACAUGCAAGUCGAACGGCAGCACAGUAAGAGCUUGCUCUUACGGGUGGCGAGUGGCGGACGGGUGAGGAAUACAUCGGAAUCUACUUUUUCGUGGGGGAUAACGUAGGGAAACUUACGCUAAUACCGCAUACGACCUACGGGUGAAAGCAGGGGAUCUUCGGACCUUGCGCGAUUGAAUGAGCCGAUGUCGGAUUAGCUAGUUGGCGGGGUAAAGGCCCACCAAGGCGACGAUCCGUAGCUGGUCUGAGAGGAUGAUCAGCCACACUGGAACUGAGACACGGUCCAGACUCCUACGGGAGGCCGCAGUGGGGAAUAUUGGACAAUGGGCGAAAGCCUGAUCCAGCAAUACCGCGUGGGUGAAGAAGGACUUCGGGUUGUAAAGCCCUUUUGUUGGGAAAGAAAAGCAGCAGGUUAAUACCCCGCUGUUAUGACGGUACCCAAAGAAUAAGCACCGGCUAACUUCGUG